rnacentral:rRNA from 1 species
AGUGAACGCUGGCGGCAGGCCUAACACAUGCAAGUCGAACGGCAGCACAGUACGAGUUUGUUCUUCCGGGUGGAGUGUCGCGGACGGGAGAGGUAUCUAUCGGACUCUAUUAUUUCGUGGGGGAACAAGUAGGGACACUUACGAUUACCCCGUAUUCGCCCUACGGGUAAAAGCAGGACCUCCUCGCAUCUUGCGCGCUUGUAUGCGCAGAUGUGGGAUUCGUUUGUUGGGGGGGUAAAGGCACACCAAGGCGACGAUCCGUAGCUGGUCUGAGAGGAUGACCAGCCACACUGGGACUGAGACACGGUCCAGACUCCUACGGGAGGCAGCAGUGGGGAAUAUUGGACAAUGGGCGCAAGCCUGAUGCAGCCAUGCCGCGUGUAUGAAGAAGGCCUUCGGGUUGUAAAGUCCUUUCAGCGGGGAGGAAGGGAGUAAAGUUAAUACCUUUGCUCAUUGACGUUACCCGAAGAAGAAGCACCGGCUAACUCCGUG